rnacentral:rRNA from 1 species
GACGUAGGGCGCGAGCGUUGUCCGGAUUUAUUGGGCGUAAAGAGCUCGUAGGCGGCUUGUCGCGUCGUCCGUGAAAACCUGCGGCUCAACUGCAGGCUGGCGGUCGAUACGGGCAGGCUGGAGUUCGGUAGGGGAGAGUGGAACUCCUGGUGUAGCGGUGGAAUGCGCAGAUAUCAGGAAGAACACCCGUGGCGAAGGCGGUUCUCUGGAACGCAACUGACGCUGAGACGCGAAAGCUAGGGGAGCAAACGGGG